GUGCCACGGACUCAAGCGUGGUUAACCACAAGUUAAGUGAAACACAGACCCAAGCUUGUUUCACUCCAUGUUAUGCAAGUUAAGUGAAACACAGACCCAAGCGUGUUUCACUCCAUGUUAUGCAAGUUUAGGUGAAACACAGACCCAAGCAUGUUUCACUCCACGUUAUGCAAGUUAAGUGAAACACGGACCCAAGCGUGUUUCACUUCACGUUAUGCAAGAUAAGUGAAACACGGACUCAAGUGUGUUUCACUCCAUGUUAAGAUAAGAUAA